UUGGCUUUUUAGGCGAGUUUAGCACUUUAUUUGGGUGGAUUUAUGAUGUAGGAGUGUAGGUACCAGAGUCCUGCACGGUAUAGUUAAAAUAGCCGAAUAACCGCCGGAGCUAUCGGCUAAUUCAACUACACGUUACAAACUGUAGUUAGUUUUGUCGGCGCGCGCAACCGACAAAUAACUAACUAUAACUACCUGCCGAUGCAGCAGUAAGUUAGCUUCGGUUCUGUUGAUGUCUCAUCAAUACAUUUUGGUGACUCAUCAAACAGAUAAGAAAGAAGCAAACGUUAUUUUUCCGAUAAGAACGCGGUAUAAUCGCAGGUAGUGUAGUUAUUUUAACUACAAGUUAGUCAAUGGUUACGUUAUCUGAGUUACAAAUAUUAAUCGCACCGGCCGGUGCGGUUAUAACCUGCCGGUGCGGUUAUAACCUGCCGUUAGGAUGACUACUAACUAUAGCUAUCCGCCCUUGACACGCAACUAACGCAGAUAACUUUUAACUAUUCGCGAAUUCACACUAAGUGGCUGACAUCUGGCGGAUUUUUGCGUAAAUGCUGAAAAGGGGGAACUGUGCAAAAUUGUGAUAAGACAUUUUUAUAUUGUGGAAUAUUUUUCAACUCAAAUUUGCAACUGAAUGAUUCCGAUUUGAGUAAUUGAAAAAAUUCAUGACACCAGAACUCAUUUGCAAACGUAUUUUAAACAAAAAUGAGAAAAUUGUAUAUCAGCAAAAGAGUCGUUUGAUAUCUUUGAGUAAAGAAAAAAAAUUGUUGGCCACUAAAUUAUUAAUUUUUGCGUUGUGAAUUGUAAUCUGAUUGGUCAAUAGUCUCCAGUUCCCCCUUUUCAGACAAUAACAACAGCGAUCCAAGUGAUUCGUGAAUUCGCGAAUACCGUGCAGGACUCUGGUAGGCAGAGUUGGAAAAAAAACGUUUUUUUUGAAAAAAAACAAAAAAAACGUUUUUUUUUGUUUUAAACAGUUUUUGUUUUAAACAAAUGUUAAAAACAGUUCCAUCGAUUCGUUGUUUAAAACAGUGUUUAAAACAUGUUUAAAACACGUUUUAAACAAAAUUUUGAAUAAAUAAGCAAAAUAAAUAGGUAGUCAAAACUCAAAUCUCAAAAGUCUUACUUUUGUUGUUUAAAUUUUAUUCAUCAUGUAGUGUUCUUUCUACUAACGAUUGAAAUUUCUGUUUAUCAUUUUUAUAUUGGUUAUCAAAUGAUUUUUAAAUGUGACGGUGAUUGUAAAAAAUUGGGAAAUUCAUGAGAAAAAUGGGAAAAAAACAUGUUUUUUUUCCAUUUCAAAAAAAACAUUGUUUAAAACGUUUAAAACGUUUUAAACACUUUCCUUGUUUUAAACACUUCAAUUUUUUGGGGGCUGUUUAAAACACUGUUUUAAACACUGUUUUAAACAUGUCUGUUUUUUUUUUGCCAACCCUGCUGGUAGGUACACAAUCAUAUAAUCAAAUCAAGAAAAAAAAAAUUACGCACGGGGAAGUAAAAACCUAAUGUAAUUUUUUUUUUAUUUUUUUUAUUUUUGGUUCCCCGGACACACAAGGUGCCGGGGGUUUUUUCAAAUAAACAAAUUUAUUUUCAUCUUAAAUCUAAGACUAAAUCUAAACAAAGUGUAUUAGUCAAUUUAUCCCUAAUCCUAGAUCUAAGAUGCGGGAAGAGGGGGAGGGGGAAAGACGGGUUGUCCACCACAACCCAUACCCCCUAGGUGGUUGCCAAGGACACAAUCACCCUACCAGGCUUCGUUACUCACGCAUGCCUAUCAGGUAGUUGGAGUCCCCCAACCCGUCUUGGGAAAAGGACUUUAGGGAGCAGAAUUUGGUGCGGGGGGGGUCAACAAGUGUUGCUCUCCCCUUUGCAUUACGUGAGUUUCGGAUAUGGGGGGACAUUUGCGAGGAGGCCGGUGCACUUGCUAAGGGCUUCACACCAGCCUCUCACAUUGGACUUAAGAGUACAAUACUAGAUAUGGCUAAUUAUUUUAGGCUGAAAAAUGUAGGAAAAUAGGUAUGAUUAGUUAACUUGUUCUACUUUGCAAAUAUAUACAGCAUUAUAAUACAAUAAAGAAGCCCACACUAAAAUAAUUUAAGGUUGUGGUUUUGAGAAGAAUAUAUUUAGGAUAUGCAUAGGUUUUGAAAAAAAAUCUAACUAUAGUUAUUUAUAGCUUGAGGUAGGGCAUUUUAAUGGGUUAUUUACAGGGCUUUUACUGGUCAAUGUUUGGUUGAUAGAUCAGGAUUGAAGCUGUUACUCCUUCUGGGUGCAUACUCUGACAGUAACUGGGUGGUCCUUGAAGCAUUCAAUGAUGGAUUGUUUCACUGUUGGCCACUCUAGUUUAUCCAGACCACACCCUAGUCUUGGUACUGCUAUCUUUUUGAUCUUGAGUUGGUCACAUUUGGCAGCAAGUGCUUUCAUUGUCGUUACAAAGUCCUUGAUUGACGGCUUAUCAUUGUAGUGUUCUUUGGUGAUUGCGUAGAGUAUGUAAUUACCACCUUUUUUGAGCUCAACUACUUCACCAACCUUAGCACCCCUUGACUUCAGAGUGUCCUGGUUGCCGAAGCCUCGUUUAAAUAGGAGCGCAAUGCCCUUGGACAUUCUGAAAUCCCUGCUGACACAAUGGGCCAGGGCAAACUGUGGGUAUUGUCUAAACAGAUUGUCCUCUAAUUCCUCUAGGGUGAAGAUCCCAUUUGAUUUGGUCUCUAGUUCCAUAAGCGGUUUCAUUUCAACAUCGGUACCCAGAAUACCUAAAUGUUGAACAAAGCAAGAUUUUAUUAAGUAUUUAAUAAUAUUAUGAUGAUCAGAUUACAGGUGAGCAAUUAUGGUGAAUUUCAGUUUCACCCAAUUUUUUUUUCAAGUGAAACUUGUUUUUAUGUUUACUUGUUUAGAUAAGAAUCAUCUUGUACAUGUACCUGUACCUAUUUUAUUUCGAACUUAGAAGUACUGAAUAAUUAUUAAAAACCACAUACUAUAAAUGUUAUGUGUACAUCUAGCUACUUGUUGUGAAUAAGGACAUAAAAAGUUAUGUAAAUGUGAUUGUGUGUUGAAGUUUCAUUCUGCAAAGGAGGGGAGGGGGAAUACAAUUACAAAAUAAAAAUAUAAAAUAAGCAGAUUAUAUUUAGUAUAAUUAAGACUGGGAUUGCCCAGAAAGCUAUUCCAUUAAUCUUAUUAUUAUCAUCUUCUACAGUUUUCUUCAACAUAUCAUCUAUAAAAUCUUCGCUGCUGGGCGAAAAUCGCCGGGUUUUCAACAUGUUGAAUACCUUUUUAGAUGUUUUUACAACGCUCCACAUUCUCAUAUGGCGCCGCCACUUGCGUUUGUUCCAAAUUUUUUUCAAUAGAUGGCGGCCUAUGGCUGCCACAAUUGUACUAUGUGGCAUCUGUAAACCUAAACAUACAAUAUUAUUAGCCAAAUUUUUGUAAAAAAUGAUGGCUAUUGCGGUAGGCCCAACUUUGGAUAAAAAGGUCCGGGGUGAAAAAUUUUGAUAGUUCUCGACGUUUUGACCUCAAACUAGACGAUUCCCGGCGGGGAUGGAAGAACAAGGAAUUUUGUUCUUUGUUCUUUUGUUCCUGAAAUGAAUUUUCACAAUAUGUUCUUUCUUUCGUUCUUUCUCAAAACUCGGAAACUUUGUUCAUUCUUUCGUUCGUUCGUUCUCUCAUUCUUUGAUUUUUUGGUUCUCUGUUCCCAGUGUUCUUGUUCUCGUAAUUUUCAUUUUUUGCAUAUAUGCCAAAUUGUGGCACUUUUUUCUCAAAGUUUGACCCAAAAUAUCCCAAAAUGUUCGAAAAAUGAAUUAAAAAAAUGGAAAAAACACUGAAAACAGAGUGAAAGAAAGAACGGGAACAAGAUAAAAAAUCAGAAGAACGGUUCUUGUUCUUCUGUUUUUCAAAGACGAAUAAAAAUUUCCGUUCUUUGUUCUCAAUAAGUAUGUUUUUUUUACACGGAUUCUCGAAAAUCUGGUUUUUGGACGUUUUUUGAAUCUCUUUUUAAACACUUUUUAGAUCCCCACCACAAACUUUCAAAACAUCAGAAGUCUUCUCUCUUUAAGUAAAAUCCAUAAUCCAUUUUCAAAAGCUACUAUCCUAACAGAUUGUGGUGGAUUUUAAAUCUGCCAAAAUCCAGAUUCUCGAAAAUCUGCCAUAAUCCGUCUAAAAAAAACAAAAUUACUGUUCUUCACUGGGAUUUUUCCAGGUGUUCAUUCUUUUGUUCGCUCAUUCUUUCAAAAAUUGGUUGUUCUUUUGUUCUUCGUUCCUGUUCGUUCUUCCAUCCCUGAUUCCCGGUGUGUCAGUUUUUAUACACAUGAAAAGUGUUGUUAUACACAGCCCAUACUAGAUAAACCUCAGACUUUUUGCGGCCCAUCUGGACUUUUUGCAGCCCAGUACCGGGCUGCAAAAAGUCUUUUCUGUUUUCACUCACUACAGAAAUUCAAACACAAGCCAACGCAGUGUGUAUAUGAGGCAGAAUACCACUAAAGACCUGCAUUAUCCGAUUUUAUGAACUUGGCGUUACUCACAGGAGCUAUUCGAGUUCCUCACCUCUCUGGAAGUGAAUGAAAACAUUUUUUUGAUGGUGGAAAAAGUCUGGGAAAUAUCUACAAAACAUACACUUGAGUGGGGACAGGGAGCCCGCCUCAAAAAUUGAAAAUUGAAUUACAAGCCUAAAUAUAAGUCUUUCUCCAACCUGAUGGAGUAUAUACCUUCUUUUCAUGGCCCAGCAGUGAGCUGCUUUGAGAACACAUGGAAAAAAUCAGAGCGCCUCUGCGAGUGCAAACCAAACGUUGGUCCGCAAAAAGUCAGUGAAAUGUCAUGGGUUGCGUAAUGUAUGGGGGCAAUCUAUAGUUUCACCCAAUUUUUUUUUCAAGUGAAACUUGUUUUUAUGUUUACUUGUUUAGAUAAGAAUCAUCUUGUACAUGUACCUGUACCUAUUUUAUUUCGAACUUAGAAGUACUGAAUAAUUAUUAAAUACCACAUACUAUAAAUGUUAUGUGUACAUCUAGCUACUUGUUGUGAAUAAGGACAUAAAAAGUUAUGUAAAUGUGAUUGUGUGUUGAAGUUUCAUUCUGCAAAGGAGGGGAGGGGGAAUACAAUUACAAAAUAAAAAUAUAAAAUAAGCAGAUUAUAUUUAGUAUAAUUAAGACUGGGAUUGCCCAGAAAGCUAUUCCAUUAAUCUUAUUAUUAUCUUCUACAGUUUUCUUCAACAUAUCAUCUAUAAAAUCUUCGCUGCUGGGCGAAAAUCGCCGGGUUUUCAACAUGUUGAAUACCUUUUUAGAUGUUUUUACAACGCUCCGCAUUCUCAUAUGGCGCCGCCACUUGCGUUUGUUCCAAAUUUUUUUCAAUAGAUGGCGGCCUAUGGCUGCCACAAUUGUACUAUGUGGCAUCUGUAAACCUAAACAUACAAUAUUAUUAGCCAAAUUUUUGUAAAAAAUGAUGGCUAUUGCGGUAGGCCCAACUUUGAAAUUUUUCAGUAUUUUAUUGGCCCAUGGAAAAAUUAAAAACAUCAAAAAUUUUUAUGGUGUCCAAGCUUUCUUGUGGUGUCUUAACUUUUUUUAAAUUCAAAUUAUUUCAACUCCAUUUUCAAAAUUUUUCUUCAAAAUUUAGCCUAAAAAUCUGAAUACUUUUUUCAACACAUAGAUUUUUUAAAUAUUAGAUUGAAUCUGCAAAUAAAAUUUUGGUAAGUGAUUUAGAACAGAAAUUAUGCCAAUUUUAAAAUUUUGUUCACUUUUCAGCAUAUAUGCCAUGCAUAGUUGACAUGUCUGGUCGCGAGCAAAUAUAUAUAUAUGUUCACGGCAGCACACUUAUGAACCCAUGUAUGAGUUAAUCUUGCAUAAGAAGUGAACCAGUAGGUUUACCAGCCUGGCUCACUUCGUAAAGGCUAAAGUUACAUAACAAGUGAGCCACCUGUUUCAAACUAGUUUUGUCAAAGUUAGCUGCGCGCACCAAAUGUUUCUCAGAGAUGUUCGCUAGAUGUAGUACUAACAUGAGGCCUAUAGAAUAGGAAGUACUGGUCGGCAUACCCAAAGCCCUGUUGAAAUUGGGUAUGCACGAUGAUAAAUUUGACUAAUGAUUUUUCUGCAUUUUAUUGCUCUAUGGGAAUACUGUUGAUACCAAAAAUUUUGAUGUGGUUCAGACUUUUUGACAACCAAGCAAUUUUCACAAAAUUCAAUAUAGUUCAAAAAAUUUUUAAAUUUUUUUAAAAAAAUUUUCUCCAAAAAUUUUUUAUUCUGUUUCUUGAUACAGAUAAAUUAUAUAUUUCAAUGACUGUGCAAUUAGAAUUUCGAUUAGUUAAUUAGAACAGAAAUUGAAAAUGAUUUUAAAAAUUUUGAAAUUUUGAAAAAUUGGCUCAUAAGCCUGCCGCGAUGCCUAUAUAUAUAUUUGCUUGCGACCGGACAUGUCAACUAUGCUUGGCAUAUAUGCAGAAAAGUGAACAAAAUUUUAAAAUUGGUAUAAUUUCUGUUCUAAAUCACUUAUUAAAAUUUUAUUUGCAGAUUCAGUCUAAUAUUAAAAAAAUCCAUGUUUUGAAAAAAGUAAUCAGAUUUUUAGGCUAAAUUUUGAAGAAAAUGUUUGAAAAUGGAGUCAAAGUAAUUUGAAUUUUGAGAAAGUUAAGACAUCAAAAGAAAGCUUAAACAGCAUAAAAAUUUUUGAUGUUUUUAAAUUUUCCAUAGGCCAAUAAAAUACUGAAAAAUUUCAAGUCAAAUUUGUUGUCGUGUACACUCAGGAUCGAUGUAUUUGCAUACAUAUCCACCAGCACAUCACAUUCUACUCACUACAAAUUGACUGUAGACCCAGCGUUCGUCCUCGCGCCUUGAUUUCUAAGCCAUGCGCCCUCUGGUGGAAGUUUCUGAAAACUCAUUAGUUGACUUGUAUAGUAAAAUUAACCCAUGACUUGUCAACUACAAGUUGGUCAGUCCACUUGUAUAGUAAAAUUAACCCAUUCAAUAGCUGACAUGUCUGGAUACUAAUACCUAUAUACAUAUAGCCGCAUACAGGUAAACUCAUAACGUUUUGUAUAAACAGCAAUCUCAAGACCCCUCUGUAACUUCGUUGCUGUGCAUACGUUCGACGCGUCACCCCAUAGGCCUGAUAGUACUCGAUGUUAGGCCGCGUUAUAUUCGUUAACUUGAUUUUUGGGUGACCUGUGGAAAAGUAUUUCAUUGCCAAAAAUCAAUUUUUCAGAAAAUCCUUUUUUUAAAAGUCUCAUUCGUCUCUGUUUUUCGCAAAUGCCUUUUUAACAAAGCAUCCUACAGAAAAAUAACCAGCUCUGAGCAGAAAGGAAAUUUAAUUCUCUACAAUUUCCUUCAAGGCAUUUUUUUCCUAGGAUGCAUACUUUUCCCAUAAAAUCAAUGUUUAGAUUGAAAAACACGAAAAUUCGGACCUGUAUAAUCAACUCAAAAUUAAAAUUCAGCAGUCAAAAAUUUAUUUUAGACGAUUUUUGACCACGCCAUGUGAAAGAGGACAUCUUCAACCACCAAAAUCACCAAAAAGAACGUAAAAAACGUAAAAAAUGAUUCUUGGCAAUAAAAACCUUUUCCUCAUAUCCUCAUACCUAAGAAUUAGGCUAUGUACUCAUUUGAAAAUUGAGUCAAAAGUGAAAUUGUAUAAACAGCAAUCUCACGUCCCUGCUCAAACUUUGCAGUAGACUUCCCACACCUUGUAGAUUCAUAUGGCACCUCAUCGAAAAGUCACGUCCUAAAAAGGUUACGAGUUUGUCAAAACGUUAUGAGUUUGCUGGUUAAUCAAGAAAAAAGUUACGAGCUUACCCCCUAGAAUAUUUAUAUAUGUAUAGAUAUGCAAACGGUACCUCUACGUCACCUUUUAUAUACUCACGCGUUCUCUUCGUCACCGAAAUCGGUGACGGAGGCGUUUUGCCGGUGACGAAGACGUUUCCCUGUGUAUGCCAAGUCCAAACGGUUUGUUUUCCCCUGAAACGUAAAAGGGGAAAAGUUUGUCCGGUGACGAAAAGGUCAUGUAUAUUGUAUACACCUACUGUAUACAGAUUUUAAAAAUUUUGUUCCAUCAACACUGACAUACCCUCGACGUCACCGCAUAUAAACAGUAGCUUUUGGUCACCGCCUUUUUAAAUGCUCCCAGUUGUGUUAUAUUUUCGUAUUCGUAGCCAGCGUAGUUGUAAUCUAUUAGGCAAGGCAGCAGGUGACAAUUUGGUAUAGUCAAUAUCUUUUUAAAUACACAAGGUCACGGAAGAGAUCAGUUUAUAAUUGGAGGCAAAUUGGUACCAUUCUCGUAAAUUUUUUUUGUAUAAACUUAAAGCAUGUAAAUCAAAUGGGGAAAAGAGUAUAAGCACUAUUAUAAUUGUGCUGGUUACGAAUAUGAAGUAAAUACACCUCCGGAGGCAUUUAAAAGCCUGGUGACCAAAAGGUACUGUUUAUGUACGGUGACGUCGAGGAUACUUAGGUCCAUAUAUAUAGACAUAUUUGUAGCAAACUGAGAUCAGUCAUAUACAACGUGCAAUCCGAGAUCACUUCCGUGAAGCCCAAUAAUGUAUGUGUUCAAUCAGUGUAUGUUGAAAUCUUCCAAGUUUUUGUGUCAUUUGGAGAAGUAUUGAGGCCACUUCAGUCCCUUUCUUGAACAUUUGUGCAUUUUUUUGAAACUAUAUAGCACACGCUGAAAGCGAGAUCAGAAGAUCCGCGUUGAAACCGAGAUCCAUUUAUAUAUGGGUAAUUCUCAGAAAAAGGGUCGAUUUUGAUAUGCAUAAUUUUGAAAAACGAAAAUCAUUUUUUUGGAAAAUUUCAAGUGGGAAUCAUUUGUAUAUGUGUCCCAGAUCCCUUUUCUAGUGUUGGCCUCAAUUCAAUCCCCCCCCCACUGUGGACCCCGGCCCCCCCUAAAACGGCGAUAAUUAGAAUUCGACCCUCAUCGAUGUGUAAUAUGUCGAUUGACAUGUUUUUAAGGUCGUAGAAUUCGAAUCUGGAGUUAUUUUUUUUGUAGAGGUUGAGGGUGAGGCGUGGGGAGGGGGAAAAUGUCAAAUUUUGCUUAGUAUUAUCGUGUAAUAUGUCGAUUUAUGUUUUUCAGACCGCAGAGUUCGAAUCUGGACUUAUUUUUUUGGUAGGGGUAGAGGUGAAGUGUGAGGAGGGAGAAAAUGUAAAAUUUUGCUUGUAUUAUCGUGUAAUAUGCCGACUAGCGCGAUAAAAGUACAGCUGUCUGAAAUUUGGCCAAGUCGAAGGACAAAUGGGCGCUGGACAAGCCGAAGGACAAUCUCAACGUUUUUUCGUUUCUAGCCUUACCUACUGGACAUUAUUCGAUUUUUAACACGUAAUAAAUGUGUACUUAUCAUGUAGAAUAACUUCCCGUGCUCAAUUAUUGGUUUUGGCGGGUUCAUUGGCGUAAAUGAAAACACCAAGCCGAAGGACACAGAUUUUGCGAAAUAUCAAAACUUCACAGAUAAGUACGAUCAGAACGAGCUGUAAUGUAGUUUUUAAAAAGAACGGUGCGGGGUAACAUAUCUAUGAGAACAGUGAACCAGUGCAGCCACUCACCAGAAAAAAAUGUUGGAUUGGGAAGCUACCAAAAAUAAUUGAAAAUUGCUCGAAAAUUUGCGCAAAAAGUGUGUGACAGUUUUCAAAUGUGAAUUGUGAGCUUCCUAUAGACUUAUUGCAAUUGCAAUUUGCACAAUAAGAGACCUUCGUGUUCUAUGAUAAUGAGAAUGUGUCAAUUUUUCCAAAAAAAAAUGAAGUUCAUGACACUUUAUAACAUUCAUUUUCAAAAACAUGAUGUGUGACAGCCAAGUCGAAGGACAUUUGGGGUAUAAAAUCAAAUGUACACCAACGAAAGGAGGGUCUAAAAACCUCAAUACCAUGUGUGAAAUGUGUGCGGGGUCAUUCUUGAAUGGACCAAAAAAAAAAAAAAAAAAUUCAUGCUAAAACCGUUGAGAAAUUUGCCGUGUACACGAAUUUUACCUUUUUCUGAGAAUUACCCAUAUACUUUUCUCGAAUAUAAAUUCAGCAUAGAUCGAGAUCAUUGCGCUGUUGCGGUACUUAAUGAUGAUAAAUUAUCUAGUGAUUAAUUUUUGUUAAGUCGCGGUUCAUUUCUCAAGAGCUUGGAAUUAUUUCAGUUGCGUGAUUGACCAUUUCUUAAAUAAAUUUCAUGCAAGUUUUAUUUUACUUUUAAAAAAUCGUACUUCUGAGAAUUGUUUCAAUUUGUUCUGAGGUUAUUGCGCCAUUUCUCAUACCUACGCUCAAAAUGAAAUUUUUUGUUUCCAAAAUUCUCAAAAGUCAUUCAAAAAAAUCCAAAAAAUUCAAUUCGAUCAGUUAAAGUUUUGAAAUAAUUUUUUCUAAUCACAGUAAAAUUUUCUAGCGUUUUGAUUAUGAUUUUGAGCACAGAUCUUUGAAAAAAAGGCUGAAGUGUUGCUUCGAUUCCAGAAUUUACUUUUAUUUCUCAAAAUAUAAGUUUUUAAAAUUUUGUGUGCGAUUUCUAAUAUGCACGCUCAAAAGCGUAUUUUUUUUGGCCCAAAAUUUUCCAAAAAAAUUGAUUGGAAUGUUUUAAAUUACAGAAUCGUUGUUUAUACCUACUUUGUACCUGGUGUGAUUUCUUUGGCAUACAAAUUGAAAGCAAUUUCCGACACACGCCUCUGAAAUAACAUUUCUUGGAUCCGAAAUUUAAAAAAAAUUAUUAGCACAAAACAGCUCAACAUUUUUACCACGAUGCUCUGCACUUGAAGUUGUGCAUUCUUUGUGGUAAGUAUAGGCUAAUAAUUUUCUAAGCGCUUUGGUUCGACUUCAUAAUGAUACGUUCGCCCCAUAAUGGCAUUUUUUGAACCCAAAAUUUCCAAAAAAAAUCCAAUAGAGAUCAAAAAACUUGAUUGCUUACCCAGGAGAAAAUGAUUAGGUCUGAUCACGUCUGAUCAGAUGUAAUCCAAGUUGCCCAACUCUAAUAAUUAGAACUAGGAAUGCCUAGUGUUGAUCAGAUCUGAUCUUGGCCUGGUAAAGAUCAGAUCUCUUCAGAUUUGCUCAGAUCUACUCAGUUGGUCAGGUCCGAACAGGUCUUCCCUAUUGGACUUGGUCCAAUCAAAUCUUAGACUAAACCCCUCCGUAAAAAACACAGAAAAUACAGCUUUUGUACCUCUCGAAAUAAUAAUUUUCUAACAAUUUUGCCCUCGCUUCCUCAAACUUGUUUGAUUUUCUGUCUAGUGAUUACAUUUUUCAAAGCAAAAACAAUUCAAAUUCUAAACUUUUGAAGGUAAAAAAGUAUAGACCAACUCCUCAUUUAAGAAAUAUCUUUUUUUUUUUACUUCUCAAAGAAAUUUCGAAAGACUUCUGCCUUCGCUUCGCCGGGGGGAAAAAUUCACUCACGCUAAGAAAACAAUACAAUGACUUGGAAAAUUAAUGCUUAAAAUGUGAACCUGCCCAAUCAAAUUUUUCAAACUCUUCCUCGUGACUAUUUUGAAAAUGUUGGGCCCUAAAGAAUGACAUUUAAGACAACAUUUUAGAAAAUCGCACCACAACGCUCGAAAUAUCAUCGCUUGGCAAAGAAAAGACGAUUUUCUAUGUACUUCAAAGCUUUCCGAACUAUUUUUCAUUAAUUUUUGAAUAAUUUUCCAAACAUUGAAUCAUAAAAUAUGUACAAUUUUAAGCGCCUGUCAUGGAACGCAAAAAUUGUCUUGAAAAAUGUAUUGUAUACUGUGUUUUGGAAGACGCAAUUUUUAAAAUUGAAACUUCUCAAUCGUAUUCUUUAAACCCCUUCCAUUGAGUACAAUUUUUUAAACACACGCCCAAGAGGGGUACACUUUGAGCACAAAAUUUUCAAGAAAUUAUCUGAAAACUUCUAUCGAAAGCUCUGCACUUCAAAGUCCUGCUUUUUUUGCCCACAUGGCUGUCUCCCACCAGAUGAAUUGGUGAGAGGUGGGGCGAAUCUGCUUCAUAGUUGAUUGCUACUCCUGUCCAUCUGAGAAAUUCUCUUUGUUUGAACAGGUCCGCUGUGAACUGUGUGAUGUUAUUAAAGUUGUUAUCAUUGAUGACGUAUAGCUGGACGUCGUGUUUAGCUCCUGCUUCUUGGACAAUUGGAUUCUGGCACUCAGUUGCAAGGUGGACAAAGGACUGGUAUUUACCACAUAUGCACUUGUUGUUGUUGAGUAUUUUGAAGCAUGGCAAAUAGGCUGAGAAGAAACCAUGCUCUGUCAAUGCUUGUGUGAUGUAGAAGUUUGGUUUUAGGUCAAUUUCCAUUUGCUCUUUGACUGAGGGUAGCCACCCGUGGGUGUAUCUUCCCUUAAUGCUGUUGCUCCAGUUGUUUUGCCACUCUGCUAUGACUGCUUCAUCCAGUUUUUUACCAAGCUCCUUGAGGGUGAGUUGUUGUUGGUUCAUAAGGUAGAUGUUUUUGUUUUUAUCUGAGUUUUGACUGACUAGUGGGAUUUCUCCAAAGAGUUCCCUCAACAUUUCUGUUGGAGCUUGUCCCAAGUCAACCAAACGCCGUGUGGUCAUUUUCUGAAUUGAAAGUUUUAGUGGAGGCAGCCCAGCUAGCAUGCAGCUUGCUGGGUAUGAUAUGGUAGAGUAUGCUGAGAUGAUUUUAAUGUUGCAGUAUCUUUGGAUCCUUUCCAGGAUUGUGAUAGUGGUCUUUUUGUUCAAAGCUGGAUGGGUGACUGCAGCACCGUAGUAGAACAGGGAGUUUAUUAGUCCCAUGGUCAUUAUAUGGCGUGCUUCAUACCCAUAUAACCAAAAGUUCGUCCAAAUAAUCGAUUGAAGAUGUUUAGUGAGAUCAGUGCUCUUAUAGAUUUUCCUAUAAUGAAGUGCAAACAAUAAAUUUUUGUCAAAUGUGAUGCCUAGGUAUUUCAGCUCUUUUACUGGAGCCACAUCUUGCCCAUUGACCCUUAUGGUAAAAUUUGGUAUGUGCUUUCUGGUGAAGACCAGAACCUGGGUUUUAGCUUCGUUGAGCCGCAGACCUAGCCUCCCUAGGUUGGUUAUAAGUUGCUGGAUUGCUUGAUUGAUGUCGUUAAUAAUAUUACGGAGUAUUUUCCCAGAAAAUAUGAAUAAAAGAUCAUCUGCAAAGGCUACUGCAUGAGCUGAUCUGUUUUUGAACUUGAGUAUGGCAUUGUACACAGCUAUCCACAGUAGUGGUCCUAAAACUGAUCCUUGUGGACAGCCUUUUGUUGCUGUUGUAUGGUAAUUGAACAUGUCAAAUAUGUUUCGUGAUGUUUUUACAAUUCGCCAUUUUCUCUUCAUGUGGCGCCACUUGGGAUUGUUCGCAAGCCAGUGGUGUUUCAUUUUGCAAAAUAUAUGGCUUCCAACUGUUGCAGCAAUUGUAUGUGACAUUAUCAUAUGUAGACUGGGUCUCUUUCACUUUGUCACAUAUGAAUAAAAGAUCAUCCGCAAAGGCUAUUGCAUGAGCUGAUCUGUAUUUGAACUUGAGUAUGGCAUUGUACACAGCUAUCCACAGUAGUGGUCCUAAAACUGAUCCUUUACGUUUCGUGAUGUUUUUACAAUUCACCAUUUUCUCUUCAUGUGGCGCCACUUGGGAUUGUUCGCAAGCCAGUGGUGUUUCAUUUUGCAAAAUAUAUGGCUUCCAACUGUUGCAGCAAUUGUAUGUGACAUUAUCAUAUGUAGACUGGGUCUCUUUCACUUUGUCACAAAAUGAUCAAAAAAUAAAAAUUAUUGACAAAAAUGAAACACCCACCCCCCCUCCCCCAAUUUUCAGCUGCUCAAGUUGAUUUUUCGAUUCUUGGCGAGUGUUUGAAGUUUUAUGUGUUCAACUCAAAAAAUGGGAAAAAAUUACACAUAGGUAUCCAUCUCUCCUGCAUAUCAACUUCCCGAGCUCAAAUUUUGGCCAAAGGCAGUCAUCCAGAUACCUGAUCAGCUCAUACCACCAUUGGCCGGAUCCGGCCUUCUGGUCAGAAUAUAGGAUUUUUUACUGUUUUUUCUCUUAUUUUCAGUGAAAUUGAAAAAUGGCCGUUUCUCCCCACCACAUGAACUUGAGCGGCUGAAAUUUUGGCUGAAGGGUCUAUGCUACAUACCUAAUUAAUUGAAAUUUAAAAUGAAAUUGAUAAAUAGGGAUUAAGAUAGAUUAGGGUGUGGUGAUUUUUAUUAUAAUGAACUCCUAGUGUGGGUAUUCUUAUAAUUUUUACUCAAGCGGGAAUUUCUCAAAAGUACCUACUCCUUAAGGAAGGAUUAUUUUCUUGAACCUAACUAGCUCAAUACAGGGUGCCCAGAAAUAUCAAGUACCCCUAAGAAAGUUUUUCAUUAAAAAUAUAGGUUGGCAAUGUGAAAUAGAUGCAUAUGAUUGGUGGAAUGUUAUCUCUCCAGUCCAACAACCAAUAAUGUGCCAUCAUUAUUACUUGUACUCCUAUCAUUCACUGUGACCAACCAAAGUAUUUUAGUAGAAAACUUUUUUAGGGGUACUCGAUAUUUCUGGGCACCCUGUAGGUGCUUGUACACCUACCCUUAUCCCCUUUAUACAUAAAUAAUACACAAGUCAAUCAUUUUAACAUUUGUAUUGUGGUAUUUAAAAUGAUUGGCAAAUAAUAAUUAUAAAUGUGGGUUACAUAAAUAAUUUGAUUUACUGACAUUUUCAUGUCUUAACUUUAAUAAACAGGUACUAAAGUGGUUAGUGUGGCUAUUGCUGAAUGAAUUUGAUUAAUUCUUUUUAAAAGCCAAGUGUAUUAAUUAUAAGGGAUGUGAUACAUCUUACCUUGUAAUUAAUCAGGCAAACGCAACCCGGACAGGAUGAAGGGUACAUCUCCUGCCUCAACACUGCACAUGUUCCCACCUCGUCGCGUCGGGGCGCUACUAAUACUAAGCACGUUGGUGGGUAUUGGUUAAAAGUACACAUUCACUUGGGUUGAACCCCUAAGAUCAGGAUCGAAUAGGGAUUCUUCCAAAAUAUCCGCAAAUAAAUUGACAUAACAUUAAACGCGUUAAUUAAAUACAUUUUAACCUCCCAAUGGGUUACAUCAAAAUUGUGCGGACCAAGUCCAGCUUAUUGGCUUAUCGAGUUAUUACUACAAUUUUUCUGAGGAGGCAUCUGAUUGUUUAGUUUUGAAUUUGAAUUCAAAGGCAGCCAUCUGGGUCUGCGUCUCUGUAAAUUUGAAAUAGUCGCCUCUUUGCUUUUGCAAAAUUUGUUAAUGGGUGUCACUUGCACCAAACGGAUGCACAGUAGUUGAGUUCAAGUUUGUCGAAUAAAAUGCAAAAUAUGCCGUUCCUCCCUGUACAUAAUCAAAUGGAAAAAUAGUUUAUGAAUGUCUAGCAUUAAUAAUUGUACAAUAUUAUAAUUGAUGAGUACCAUAGGGAAAGCCACCAUUGGCCAUGCUGGGGCCUCCAACAAUGGCGGUCCUCGUUCUUUCCUUAAGUAUUUCAGUGUGCUGAUCCCCCGCAAUGGUAUAGCAGUGGUGGGUUGUGUGCGUGUGGCACCAACCCCUCUUUGGUGAUGCACCAACCACACUUAUGAUGAGGUCUAGCACAUGUCUUAAGUAUUCAGCUCAGGUGUGUAAUACCUAGGUACACCAGUAGGUGUAGGUAAUUUUUGUAAACUAAUCCAAAACGAGACUCACCUACCAAAUGAAGGAGGAAAAAACAUAGAAAAAUAUAUGAUAUGAUCCGUUCAAAUAUUUCCAAUUCCCACAAAAAACGUGUAAAUUAGUAACCUUAAUUAGCACCCAACCUAUAUAUCAAUCAUAAGUUGGCCUUUUUGUGAUUGAAGAGUCACACAUUAUAUUAAUAGUAAUUAAAGCUAACACUUAGCGGACAAUUUGACCUUAAUUCUUUUCCUUACCUAUGUGUAUUUUUCCAAAACAAGACACAUCUACUAAAUGAUCCAUUGUGAUUAGAGGCAAAACCCCACAACUUACAGAUACUUUCCUUAUAUGUAUGGUUUACAUCUAUGGUUAUCUUCCACAGUGCUGUGGCACUCUCUCUUGGUCUUGAAGAAGCGUUGAGCUCUUUUGAGGAUGAGUAUGAGUAUGCCGAUGUCGUUUGAUGUGGCGCCAACCUCUGUUGGCAAGCUGGCGGUGGAUGGCCAUCCAGCAACGCCUCCUCUCAAAAAAUAUGAGAUUUCCGGCUCACAUAUGUGACGCAUCUGUAAUGAAAUCAAAAAAAAGUUCAUAAAUGUCUAGCAUACUAUCAGAAAUGAAAUUAUUGAGAAUUCGUCAAAAUUUUCAAGGCAACCUCACACUGAUAGGGACCUUGGAGAACCUGACAGAAGGGUCAGACAGAUUAGAUAGACACAUCAAGUCAAGUCAAUAGGUUGAUAUUUGUUCAGGAUGAUUAGAGCAGACCUGAUCAAAUCAAAUUUUGUUUAGGUGACUCGCAUUCAUACAAACACAUCUGACUUAAGGCACUGUAACAGGAGGUAUGCUAGUUCGCCAUUUUCUUACGAAAGCAAAAUGCAAAUGUUCUACAUAUUGAACAGAAAUUGUAUAUACAAGAGUCCUUUUUUGUAGAGAAUGAAAAAAUUUGAAUGAUCUGUGCAAACAUCUUGAAAUUUCACGCAGUAGAACAGAAGCUAAAAAAUCUAUUAAAAAAAUGAGAAAACAAAAAAAAUGAUCAUAACUUUUUCAUUUUUUCAAAAUCUUAGGUUCUACUGCAUGAAAUUUCAAGAUUUUUGCACAGUUGGUUGUAUUUUAAAAAUCGAGGUUUUUCAAACUCAAUAUUCAAACAAAAAUAUGUAAGACCUGACCACAUCAGUGUUUAGACUAAAUCACCAUAAAUUUUGCAUUUCUGACAUUCUGACACACAUACACGAAAUAUUAAUGAAUGACAAAGCGUACAGCAGCAGGGAUGCGAUCCUAAAUCAGAAUGAUUCUGGUAAAGUGUGGUCUAUCUUCUAGCAAAUGGUUCCUCUGCAAAAAACGUCAAAAAGCGUAUGAAAAAAUAAUGAAUACAACAAAAUUUAUUCGAUAUUCAAACAUAUACAUAUAACGUUCUGUUUUUUUUUCUAUUAAAAAAAAAUAAAUAAAUAGGUACAUAAAUAAAUAAAUAAAUAAAUAAACGAAAAAUGUUCCGAACUCUGCAUUCAUGCUUCUAAUUAUACAUAUUUGUGAGACACUAAUUCCUUCUACGAUAGAAAAUAUUGGUGCAUGUAUUUACUUAGUUUUAAAAUCAUAUUAUGAAUACGCUCCGAAAUUUCUCUCUGCUUGCUUGCUUCUUCUCCAAACGAUAACGAGUAAUGUCUGAAAUUUCACUUUAUUUGUUACAAUUGUUUUUUUUUUUUUGAGUUUAUUUGGCUUUUGCGACUGUGUCAAGAACACAUUCGUUCUUCUUUUGAAAAGUACAGGUGGCCAAGAGCUUCGGUAGUAUGGUUGAUUACUUCAGGUAGGAUCACUAGAGCUUGGAAUUUUUCUCAAUUUAGGCAGCGAGAGGUAAAGAGAUGGAAAUUGGAUAAGAAUGUAACGAUUUUGUCAACAGAAAAAAAUAUUAAUUUAUAUCAUAGGUAAAUUUAAUACGUCGACAUACCGUCACUAUAUUUUAUUUUCAUAAUAUUGUUGGUACCUACUCUUUAAUUGUAUCUCACCAAUUUGUUGAAUUUAUUUUUGAAUAUAAAUCACUUUUCAAAA